CGCAGCCGCGGUAAUUCCAGCUCCAAUAGCGUAUAUUAAAGUUGUUGCAGUUAAAAAGCUCGUAGUUGAAUUUCGGGGUCAGUAGUUUGGUCGUGCCAACGGUAUGUACUGGGCUCACUGAUUCCUCCUUCCUGAUGAACUGUAAUGCCAUUAAUUUGGUGUUGCAGGGAAACUGGACUGUUACUUUGGAAAAAUUGAGUGUUUAAAGCAAGCUAACGCUUGAAUACAUUAGCAUGGAAUAAUGAAAUAGGACGUUCGAUCCUAUUUUGUUGGUUUCUAGGAUUGACGUAAUGAUUAAUAGGGAUAGCUGGGGGCAUUAGUAUUCAAUUGUCAGAGGUGAAAUUCUUGGAUUUAUUGAAGACUAACUACUGCGAAAGCAUUUGCCAAGGAUGUUUUCAUUAAUCAAGAACGAAGUUAGGGAUCGAAGACGAUCAGAUACCGUCGUAGUCUUAACCAUAAACUAUGCCGACUAGGGAUCGGAUGAUGUUAAUUUUUANGACUCAUUCGGCUACCG
rnacentral:rRNA from 1 species